GAUGAACGCUAGCGGCAGGCUUAAUACAUGCAAGUCGAGGGGCAGCAUGAUUGUAGCAAUACAAUUGAUGGCGACCGGCAAACGGGUGCGGAACACGUACACAACCUUCCAACAAGUGGGGGAUAGCCCAGAGAAAUUUGGAUUAAUACCCCGUAACAUAGCGAUGUGGCAUCACAUUGCUAUUAUAGAUUUUUCGCUUGUUGAUGGGUGUGCGGCUGAUUAGAUAGUUGGCGGGGUAACGGCCCACCAAGUCUACGAUCAGUAGCUGAUGUGAGAGCAUGAUCAGCCACACGGGCACUGAGACACGGGCCCGACGCCUACGGGAGGCAGCAGUAAGGAAUAUUGGACAAUGGACGCAAGUCUGAUCCAGCCAUGCCGCGUGAAGGAUUAAGGUCCUCUGGAUUGUAAACUUCUUUUAUAAGGGACGAAAAAAGGCUUUUCUAGGUCGUCUGACGGUACCUUAUGAAUAAGCACCGGCUAACUCCGUGCCAGCCGCCGCCGUAAGAC
rnacentral:rRNA from 1 species